rnacentral:rRNA from 1 species
GGCCUUUUGAUAAUGAUUUAAGGUCUUACCUGCCCAAUGAUUUUUUAAUGGCCGCAGUAUUUUGACUGUGCAAAGGUAGCAUAAUCAUUAGUUUCUUAAUUAGAAGCUGGAAUGAAUGGUUUGAUGAAAAAUUAACUGUCUCUUUAUAAUUGUUUUAUAAUUUUAUUUUUAAGUUAAAAAGCUUAAAUUUAAUACAAAGACGAGAAGACCCUAUAGAGUUUUACGAUUUUGUUAGUAAUUUAUUUGAGGGUUUAUAAAUUAAUUUAUUAUUGAAGUCGUUUUGUUGGGGUGACAUGAAAAUUUGCUUAACUUUUCAUUGGUUUUACACUAAUGAGUGGAUUGAUGAUCCUAUAUUUUAGAUUAUAAGAUUAAAUUACCUUAGGGAUAACAGCGUAAUUUUUUUUGAAAGUUCUUAUUGAUAAAAAAGUUUGCGA